AGCGAACGCUGGCGGCAGGCCUAACACAUGCAAGUCGAGCGCCCCGCAAGGGGAGCGGCAGACGGGAGAGUAACACGUGGGAACGUACCCUUCAGUUCGGAACAACCAAGGGAAACUUUGGCUAAUACCGAAUACGUCCGUAAGGAGAAAGAUUUAUCGCUGAAGGAUCGGCCCGCGUCUGAUUAGCUAGUUGGUGGGGUAAUGGCCCACCAAGGCGACGAUCAGUAGCUGGUCUGAGAGGAUGAUCAGCCUCACUGGGACUGAGACACGGCCCAGACUCCUACGGGAGGCAGCAGUGGGGAAUAUUGGACAAUGGGCGCAAGCCUGAUCCAGCCAUGCCGCGUGGAUGAUGAAGGCCCUAGGGUUGUAAAGUCCUUUCGGCGGGGAAAAUAAUGACGGUACCCGCAGAAGAAGCCCCGGCUAACUUCGUGCCAGCCGCCGCCGUAACAC
rnacentral:rRNA from 1 species